rnacentral:rRNA from 1 species
CCUACGGGAGGCAGCAGUGAGGAAUAUUGGUCAAUGGACGCAAGUCUGAACCAGCCAUGCCGCGUGCAGGAAGACGGCUCUAUGAGUUGUAAACUGCUUUUGUACGAGGGUAAACGCAGAUACGCGUAUCUGUCUGAAAGUAUCUUACGAAUAAGGAUCGGCUAACUCCGUGCCAGCAGCCGCGGUAAUACGGAGGAUUCAAGCGUUAUCCGGAUUUAUUGGGUUUAAAGGGUGCGUAGGCGGUCGGAUAAGUUAGAGGUGAAAUCCCGAGGCUCAACUUCGGACUUGCCUCUGAUACUGUUAGGCUAGAGAGUAGUUGCGGUAGGCGGAAGGUAUGGUGUAGCGGUGAAAUGCUUAGAGAUCAUACAGAACACCGAGUGCGAAGGCAGCUUACCAAGCUACUUCUGACGUUGAGGCACGAAAGCGUGGGGAGCAAACAGGAUUAGAUACCCCAGUAGUC